rnacentral:tRNA from 1 species
GCCCGGCUGGCUCAGUCAGUUGAGCGACUGACUUCAGCUCAGGUCAUGAUUUCACCAUCUGUGAGUUCAAGCCCCGCGUCAGGCU